AUGAGCAAGAUCCUGUUUUUCUAUUUCAUUUUCUUUGUGCUUUUGGUAAGGACGGAUCUGGCGCUUUGGAUACUAAAUAGGCAACUAAUUCAAUUGGUGCUUUCUCCGAGGGUCUGCUUGCAAACCGGUGCCAGACUCACUGGUCCUUUGUGUACUGCCCGCCCUGCAUGUGUCUGGGCUCCCCUGGCCAGUCCGUUUUUUUGUCUCUGAUGGUUAAUAAGCUUUGAGCCUAGUAGUCAAAUGUGGUGGGAACGGGGACAAGACGAGGGUCCUUAGUGAAGGUGUUUGUUGUUAAAUAGAACAAUUCAGCUGUCUCUUUAGAAAACUUGACAAAAGGAAAUGCUCCCUGCUGAAAAUUUUCUUAGCCUGUUGCACAAAAGAUGAAGUUUGUUUAAGAAAUUGCUGCUAAAGAAAGCGUCAACCCAUUAAGGGGAAAGCACGAACGCAGUUCCCCACUACCACAAAUUAUGCAGUCAAGUUUCCCACAUUUGGGGAAAUCGCAGGGGUCAGCACAUCCGGAGUGCAAUGGAUUAGCCUCGCCCUGGGAAAACCACCUUCGUGAUCAUGCUAUCUCCCCUGGCAGCUAUUUUGUCCCAAAAGAAGUCAGCUGGCCAUCUCUCCAGCUUGUAAAGAAAAAUGAAAAAGAAGUUAACCCAGAACAUGUAUGACUACAAGGAAAGCCUGGAAACCUGGAGCUUAAUUUCAGGAGCAAGUUAUCUGAAGACAGACCAGACGGCUUGAUUUUGAAUUUCAGCUCUGCUUCUUCCCAUCUCCUGCCUUCCGGUUCCUCAUCUACAAUGAGAAGAUUGGAUGAAAGAAGGCAUGUAAAGUAUACAAAGUAGCCUGGUAACUAUGCACACUCAAAAACUGUUAGGCAUUAUCAUCAUCAUCAUCAUCAUCAUCACCAUAUAACAAGCCCUUUAUGUACAUGACAACUCAUUUAUCUACUACAACAAACUUUUCCGCAAUUCUAUGGGGCACCCCCAAGUUAUUAACUUCUACACUACUAUAUUGUGGUAGGUACAAAAUAUAGUAGUGUUAAUUGAAUCUGAAAAUAAGAAAUGAAAAUGAAUCAGAAAAUAGAAAUGGAAAAUGGAUCUAAUUACUCAAACUUUUUGGCUACAUACAAACUAACUUGAAAUUCCAGUCUUCUACCACUUGUAAAUCUAGUGUUCACCCACCCUAUGUCCCACUCUCACUAUUUCUUCUCUUUCCAGGCUGCUUCCCUUCACUUUCAAAUCGCCUUGUGUUCAGAGUCUGUACUUCCUUAACAUCAUCUUUUACUCUCUGAUUCACUGCAGUCAGUCUCUAUUUCAACUCAGCCAUUUUCCUGCAAGUACUCUUGUCAAGGCCAUGACUUCUUCUCUACUGCUUUGUCACUGCAAUACUUGGCCUCUCUUCUGAGACUCUUCUCAUCCAGUUUACCCCAUUUGUGUCUAGUCUUAAUGUUUCAGUCUUACAUGUGGAGGCCUCCUCCUAUUCCUGGUCUUCAGUGUUGAAUGUUCCAAAUUAUCUGGCAUCUGCUGGUCUCUCUACUCUCAUUUGUCACCCGUCUCACCCCUACAUGAUAUGCAGUUAUGUAUAUUUAUGAUGAUCUAUCUACCAUAAUUUUUUGCAUGCAACUAUUAUACCACAGAGCAAUAAUCGAACAUUUGUUCCCUUCUAUUAUACAGUUAUGCAUUAACAAACAGUACAAUGGUUAGUGGGUCAUGAUAGGUUUCUCAUCAAAAAAAUCACUGGAGCAUUUUAUAAGGCUCAAUGUUACUUUGUAAAACAGAGCAGAACUUAAUUAGUUUUUAAAUUAAAAAUUACAAUAUCAUAUGGUGAUAAAUAAAUUGAAUGGGACACUGUCAUUAUUUCAGAGCACCCAACCUCACCAUAAGAAAUAAUUUGUUACUGAUAAUAUUAAGAACUGAAAGUUAAGAGGUCAUUUUAUGGGGUAGGUAAAGCAUUAAUAUUAAAUGUUUUUAAAGACUUGAAAAAUGCCCUUUAACUGGCUGUAAUCCAAAACAGCAGAAUUUAGAAUAAUAAACUUACCAAAGAGCUUGAUAAUAAAAAAUUAGGUAAAAACUUGAUAUUUUACCUCAGAAAUUAAAAAAACAAAUCGAACCUUAAUGAAACAAACCUAUUGUUAAAGACAUUAGAAAGCUAAAUUUAGUUUUAUCUACUAACAUGAAUAAACUUCCAUAAAGGUCUGAUUAAGUCUGCCAAAAGAAAAUGGAAUUAAUUUGUUUACAAAUCACAACUUCCUUGUUUUCUCAACAUUUUGUCUGAUAAACCAAACUACUUCAUACUAUGUGUAGAGUUUACCUAUGUUAAAGUGAAAGAAGAUUUUCAGGAGUACAAAACUUCCUCUUUCAAGACAGAAAUACACCAAUUUUCCAGAUAGUAACUAUCUCAAUUUUUUUAAAAGGCAGAACAAGAAAGAUACUCACACAGACAUAUAUCAUAUACACACAUAGGUCUUCUCUUUUAUGUUUUUCCUGGAAAUAUUGCUUUUCUAAAUAAAACUAGUAAAAAUUUUAAGUUCACAAAAAUACUUAGGGAGAUAACCUACCUCCAUAAACAAUUCCAAAUUGUCCAGAACCCAGUACUUCAUCAGGAAAAAUCUGAUAUACCGUGCUGAUGUCCUAGAGGUACAAGUUCAAUGAGAAACAAACAUGAAGCAGAACAAAACAUUAGUCCUAAAAAAUUAUAUAAUUGUAUUAAUAUAUCAUAAAUAUUAAGUAUUUUAAAAAUAAAUUAUAGAUGCUAGAUGAAAUUUGAAAUGACUGUAAUAUUCAAAGCAUACUCUUUAAUUUAUGUAAUAAUGUAAUGUUUUGAAAACUGUUCUGAUCCUAAGUGGCAGAGGUUUCCUAACACUCUAGCACAUAUGUUUCAUUAGAAUGAAAUAUGACUAAAAACCAUACAAUGUGAUUUACUGUAAGUAUCAAAAAAGAUAUUUGCCUGUUGAGAUGGCUAUUGGGAAAUUUCAUUAAAUAAUCAUGGUUCCUAAUCACAUGUCUGUGUGAAUCCUGCUUCCAACCAUUUCUCCCUGUAUGGCUAGACUGGAAAGGUUGCUCCCUUAUUAGUCACCCACAUGCAGAUGAAGUGUCGGAAGAGGAGGCUGAAUCACCAUGAGUGAGCUAGAGAUGCUGCAGAAGGAUGGCAACCCAUAUGAAAUUCUCAUGUGUGAAGUAGCUAAACUUGUCCAAUUUUAUCACUUCAGGAGGUAACAAAUUCCAAA